rnacentral:rRNA from 1 species
AUUGAACGCUGGCGGCAUGCUUUACACAUGCAAGUCGGACGAGUGGCGAACGGGUGAGUAACGCCUCGGAACGUACCGAGUAAUGGGGGAUAACUGUCCGAAAGGACAGCUAAUACCGCAUACUAUUCGAUUGGCCCAUAUCUGAUUAGCUGGUUGGCGGGGUAAAGGCCCACCAAGGCGACGAUCAGUAGCGGGUCUGAGAGGAUGAUCCGCCACACUGGGACGGAGACACGGCCCAGACUCCUACGGGAGGCAGCAGUGGGGAAUUUUGGACAAUGGGCGCAAGCCUGAUCCAGCCAUGCCGCGUGUCUGAAGAAGGCCUUCGGGUUGUAAAGGACUUUCGUCAGGGAAGCGGUACCCGAAGAAUAAGCACCGGCUAACUACGUGCCAGCAGCCGCGGUAAUAC